AUGACCCCCGGCGGCGGUCACGCAAUUUGGGUAAGGUCAUCGAUACCAUAACUUGCGGCCUCGCCGAUCUCAUGGGGUAU
rfam:Hepacivirus hominis isolate 14DH42, complete genome